GCCAGCAUGAUGUAGUGGUCAGAGCACUGGACUUCAACUCCAGAGACUAGGGCUCAAUUCUCCAUUGGGCCA